rnacentral:rRNA from 1 species
UACGGAGGGGGCUAGCGUUGUUCGGAAUUACUGGGCGUAAAGCGUACGUAGGCGGCUUUGUAAGUUAGAGGUGAAAGCCCGGGGCUCAACUCCGGAAUUGCCUUUAAGACUGCAUCGCUUGAAUCAUGGAGAGGUGAGUGGAAUUCCGAGUGUAGAGGUGAAAUUCGUAGAUAUCUGGAAGAACACCGGUGGCGAAGGCGGCAUCCUGGACCGACACUGACACUGAGGAGCGAAAGCCAGGGGAGCAAACGGG